GGGGAAGGGUAGCUUGCUACCUGACCUAGCGGCGGACGGGUGAGUAAUGCUUAGGAAUCUGCCUAUUAGUGGGGGACAACAUUCCGAAAGGAAUGCUAAUACCGCAUACGCCCUACGGGGGAAAGCAGGGGAUCUUCGGACCUUGCGCUAAUAGAUGAGCCUAAGUCAGAUUAGCUAGUUGGUGGGGUAAAGGCCUACCAAGGCGACGAUCUGUAGCGGGUCUGAGAGGAUGAUCCGCCACACUGGGACUGAGACACGGCCCAGACUCCUACGGGAGGCAGCAGUGGGGAAUAUUGGACAAUGGGCGAAAGCCUGAUCCAGCCAUGCCGCGUGUGUGAAGAAGGCCUUUUGGUUGUAAAGCACUUUAAGCGAGGAGGAGGCUACUGAGAUUAAUCUCUUGGAUAGUGGACGUUCUCGCAGAAUAAGCACCGGCUAACUCUGUGCCAGCAGCCGCGGUAAUACAGAGGGUGCGAGCGUUAAUCGGAUUUACUGGGCGUAAA
rnacentral:rRNA from 1 species